ensembl:lncRNA
CGUGUAUAGAAGCCUCGCUGAUCCGGGCUAAAUGGCAUCCUCUGGGUUUCUACUCUGAGCAACAAGGGCUGAAACUCCUUCUCUGUGCGGAGCCUUAGCCUAAUGGAUACCAUAACAAUAGCUGUGAGAUGGUGCUGUGUCCCACAGGCACACAUCAACUUUGUGACCGAUGGAAUCACAAAGUGGUAUAUGAGCAGAUGGAUAUACAAACAUUCUAAAACCAAAAAUCUGACAAUCAUUUGUGUCCAAGUAGAAUUUAAAAGAGUCUCUGCGUAUAUUCAACAGCUCCUAAGUGUGAUGAAAGCUCUAUGGGUGGAACCGGGACGUGGCUCAAUGGACUGGGAAGCAUUGGAUACACUGCUGGAUGACACACCUCUAGUGCCUGUCAGCACCAACAAAUACAGUGUCACGCACACCACCAUGAGACCAGGGGACAGCUUUUAUUACCAUGUGUGUAACACGGUGGAAUUAGUAAAAGGGCGCGCGUGGAUACUCAGGAGGGAACUGAUGACCAUACUUAAGCUGCACAGCAAACAUGAACCUCACAGUGUUACGCUGUUAGUGCCCGGGACCGCAACAAGGAUGAUACAUGUGCGAUGCACCGAGCCCCAGCGAAUAUACGAGCUGUUCAAGAAGUAUGGCCUGACAUGCUCCAAUGUCUGGGAUUCCAGAACCUCCCUGUCUGCCACGGCUCCUUGUACAGCACUGUGUGACCUCAACAUGACCACAGUUAAUGUGAACAGGAUCGCGGAGAAUGAUGCCUUGGGCCAGGAACCUGAGGUGUCCAAUUUCUACCACAACAUGAAAUGCAUCCGAAUACAAGCAAAGCGAGACGCGCUGAAACACAGACCCUACAACUGCCAUCAGCCAGUGUUGACGGAACCUGCUCGAAUGAGACUCAGCCCGACUGCAUAUCAGUUGCCCUGUACUACUACGAUCGAAUGGCCAAACUGGGAGAUGUCAUCAAGUCCGAAGGUCGGUUCGUACCGUCUGUCCAGUAUUCAAAUCCAGAGGAGUGGUCUGGGGAUAGAUAUGUGUUGGAACUGGAACCAGACAACAACGUGAUCAUUACGGGUAAGAACACAACAAUCUAUAUCCAUUUGGUGUAACAGUAACUCUUAUUGCCAGAGAUGUACACUAAAAGUCCACAAAUGAAUUCUCAUGUUUCUUAUCCUAAAGGCGCGGUGCUCCCGGACGGCUCGAAUGCUGAGACAACGCAUGUGGAACCUUACACAUGCCCCUACUGUCUCGAAGACGCAAAUGCGUACCUUGAAUGCGGACACCUGUGUUGUGUGUCCUGUACAAGAAGAGCUAAGAAGAAGAAUUCUCUGGCCUGUGGUGUUUGCAAGAAAGAAACCACCUCUUACAGACCCCUUGAAAUACCACAGAACUUCGAGUCUACGUGCUUCGCAUGCUGCAAAGGGAAAGAGUGGGUCACAGAAUGUGGCCAUUUAAACUUAUUUUUCCGGCCAAACAUGUUAUAGUCCAAUGCCAGCUCGUUUGACAGAAUGUAUUUCAUUAUUCGCCUAGUUGCAUCAUCUACAUUUGUGCCCCCUAUAUCUGCCACCAUGGCAACCUAGGGAUGAGAGUAAAAAGGAGGGAAAAAAAGGCUUACAUGAACUGCCAAGACAAUAAGCUUCAAAGAUUUAAAAAUUCAGCCAUAAAGUAAACUAAACAUUUGAAGUUGUAGCCUUUGUGUAAUUUACUGUAAUGUAAUACAUAUUUUUAUUUUGUAGGCUAAUGCAAAUCAAUUUGGAAAACCAAAAAAAUAACCAGCAGAGAUUAGACUGCGGUCCCCCAGUUGCUCCUCAAGCGCCUCAACAUCUGCUUGAGUUUGCAGCGGGAAGACCACAC